CCCUAUCAAGGUUAUUGGCCGCCAUCUUGGACUGGGGGCAAACAUUGGGGGCUGACGUCACAAAAACAAUGGCCGACGCGAGGCGAAGCGAGAACGGAUCAGCAAAAUAAACCGCCGCGUGUUGUUUAUCUUCGAUGUAACAACUGUAAAUAACUAUGCACAAAAGACUCUCAGCAAGUUAACAUUGAGAGCAAGUCAUAACAGUAUCAGAGAGCCAAGAGCCGUAAAUACAAAGGCCUAUACAUAAAGAAAGAAUGCCUAAAAAGUUUUCCACAAGACAUCACUGUAUUUAUUAAUGACAGCCAACAAACUGUAACUAGACAGUGGCCUAGGGCAAAUGCCCAUCUACCAUUGCCAAUCUGCUACUGGACUGACUUUCUGCCAGUUACAGCUGUUGACCAGAUAGCCGACAAACUGUAACUAGACAGUGGCCUAGGGCAAAGCCGGAAAUGCCCAUCUACCAUUGCCAAUCUGCUACUGGACUGACUUUCUGCCAGUUACAGCUGUCGACCAGAUAGCCGACAAACUGCAACUAGACAUUGGCUAGGGCAAAGCUGGAAUCGCCCAUCUGCCAUUGCCAGCCUACUACUGGACUGACAUUAUGCCAGUUACAGCUGUCGACCAGGCCAUAUGAUGAGUUUUCCCAGUUCUAGACGAAGUAAGCGAGUCCAAGUAAAAAAAAUGCUGCUGACAGUUGCAUCAGAAAUGUUGAAUCUAAAUGCAAGGUCAUGAACUAAAAGACCAAGUCUUAAUCUCAUCAAUACCAGCAACAACUCAAGCUCUAGAGAUAGUUUUCUUCUUGGACCAGGGCGUUUGAAGGAGUUGUCCCACUGAUGGCAUCAGACAAGGUUAAAAACAAAGUGGGAUAGGGAUUCUCACUGGUGGGCAUACCAUCUGAAAAGUGGUUUGAACAUACACGUAUGCCAUUGCCUGGAAUAUAAUCCUGACGACCUUUUAAUAUUUGAGAAUUCCAUUUUUUCCUCAUAAUUUCAUCAGAUGGAAGUUUAUGAAAUUUAAGAGUAUGAACAUGUGAUUUGAUAUCAUAAUUUUGGGGAUAUCUCCUGUCAUUGUUGCAAGGACCAACUGCACACCUAUCACCUCCUCCCAUGUUUGUUUAGUUGAAUAUCAAUUAUAUAUAAAAGAUGAAAUUUGACCCUCUGAUACUAGCAGACUUAACUAGGACAUGAUUUUUUUUUUAUUGAGAUACAUGUAUAUAUAAAUAGAAGUUUAUAAACUAAAUCAAGUUGAAGGAAGGGUACAGUGAUCUGCAAGGGAAAAAACAUUUUUAAUAUGAUUUAAAUACUCAGUAUUUAAAGAAGUAAGAAAUACCUAGACUAGGCACAGUAAAGCAUGUACAAUGUACUCUAUUUGUAUAGAUGAUAUGUAAACAAUUCAUUUUAAUGAUGUUUUAACUUCAAUUCUGUAAAGCACUCUGUCUUAUGAAGCACAUGCAUUACAAGUCCAUAUUUCAGCAGUGGGUUCUGUUUUGACCCCUACACAUUUCCAAUGAAACCAAAGGUCACAGUUAUCACAACAAAUGCUGUGAUCUCCACACUCGAUGAUUUCAUCGCCAUCUAAGCAAAGUUUGUUGCAUAGUUGACAAAAUGUCAAAUUUUUUGUGCCCAAAAGAUAAGGGACAAUGUAAAUUUUAAAGAAAAGGGAUGCUUUUUGUACUAUUUCCAUCCAAAUCUUUUUGUCUAAUUUUACUUUUAGAAUUAGUGUGUCUUUAGCUGACCACACCACAAAGAAAGCUUGCUGCAGACCAGUGACACCAAGUUGUGCUUGAAUCUGGUAGUAAUAUUUGUGUGAAGAUUUCAAAGCCAGAUUUCCUUCUUGUUGUUCAAGGAAAUCUGUCAAAUGCCAACCUUCUUGCACAGAUACAUUGUUAGUGUUAAGAACGUAGGGGCAUUUGAUUUCAAGGACAGACGCUCCACAACAGUUACACUGAAUGAUGCCGUCGGGACUGGCUGCCAAAAAUGGCAUGUCAGGUUUUAUAUAUAAACCUGCUUUUCUGAUGGAAAAACCGGAGUGCUUUAGGGACUCAAGCUUUAAAAAAUCUACUCUAGCUGUAUCCUCCUUUUCUAUUCCAUACUUAACAGCUGGAACAAAAGAGAUGUCAUCUCCACCAUGCAAUAUAUUUUUCACAAGGGGGGUAAUUUUGACCUUGGAGCUUCCUUUUUUUGAUAGUGUAGAAAAUUUUGUACACACUGUUAGGGUACUAGAAGCAGUUAUCCUCCCUUUUCUUUGGGUAUGCCAUAGUGGACAUUUGGCCUGAUCUCUAGUGGCCUGCUCAACAAGGACAACCUGUUCAUUUGAAAGGGGCAAGCCUUCAAUGAACUUUUCUGCGGAAUCUGUAUAAUUGGUUCCAAUAUCAAUUAAUGAUUGGGGCAUUACAGGCUUCUGACUGUUUGAUGUAAUAGCCUUAAAUACAACUGACCUUGGAGUAACACUAUACAGCUUACUAAACAUAUUGUUUACUUCUUCUUCUGUGACCUUCCUGUGAUCCAUCCGUCUUGGAUCAAAUGAGGUUUUCAUCUCGGAAAUAAUAGAUUUCUGACCUUGAUCUUCUGUAGAUUUGACCCUGUUGUCUUUCCUGACAUUCAUAUCAGUGACCUUGGAUGGUUGGACAUUACGUUUAGUAGAUGCAUUCCAGUUGCAUGGUAGAGAUGUGCAUGAUGGAUUUGUAAACCCCAUGGUAUUGGCAUAUUCUACCUUAUAAAGUGUAGCUAUUACAUGGUUACACGUUUCUGCCAUACCUGCUAUACAGCUACACCAACUUGUCAAAAUUUGUUCCUCUUGAAUAUCAAAUGCUAUCCAAACUUCUCUUGGAUCAUUAUUUAUAUUUUGUGAUGGAGUAACCAUUGAUCGAAGAAUUUUGAUGUUUUGAAAGUUGUAUGUUAAUAUUUCAUCAACAAACCCAGACUUCCAGUAGGAGAAUGCUUUAUGGGUUUUGUAUUUACCCACAAAGUCAAUGUCAAAUUCUUUUUUCUCUAAAAUAAAAGAAAAAAUGUUGCCUAGAUCUAGUUUUGGCAAAGAUUUGACAUCUGAUUGCCACUUUGACAGUGGAAUUGACCUUGGGUCUUCAGGUAUUUUGUAUUUUUGAAGUUUUUCAAUAUAGUGGCUCUGAAGAUUUUUUUGAAGCUCUUUUUCAGAAACUUUAGGGGACACCUUCUGCUCCCAUGCAACAAAUGCCCUUGAGACGAGUUCAUUUUUAACUCCUGACACCUUUAAACCUCUAAUAUUGAGGUAGUCUUUUAACUGACCAAUAGUCAUGGAGGAAAAUUCCUCAAACAUGCUAUCCAUUGACAUAUUGAUUUUUAUAAGAUUUUCAAAACAUUUUUGGUUAUGAAAAUAGUAUGUGCUUUUGAAUAACAAAAUAUUAAAAAUUCCCUUGCUCACUGAUACUGGUUGUAAUUUUAAUAUUACAUUAAAACAAUGAAAUAUAACAAGUUACAUUGUACAUGUGAUCAUAUUUUUUGGGCUUAUGUCCAUAUUUAUUUCAGUCUGGAAAGAAAUGAAGUUGAUACAUUAUUUAAAAAAAAUUGUUUACAUUUUUAGAAGGAUGAACUUGUUUAAUUUAUAUCGUAAGUUAGUUAUUUUCUCAUUGUACAUGUUUGUGAUAAUACUUUUAAAAAAUUGGUCAUUAAAAUAUAAAACUUGAAUAUUUCUGCAUUUUUUUUAUUUUCAAUUUUAAUUACAUGUAUU